rnacentral:rRNA from 1 species
UUGACCUCGGAUCAGGUAGGGAUACCCGCUGAACUUAAGCAUAUCAAUAAGCGGAGGAAAAGAAACCAACCGGGAUUGCCCUAGUAACGGCGAGUGAAGCGGCAAGAGCUCAAAUUUGAAAGCUGGCCCCUGCGGGGUCCGCAUUGUAAUUUGCAGAGGAUGCUUCGGGAGCGGUCCCCAUCUAAGUGCCCUGGAACGGGCCGUCAUAGAGGGUGAGAAUCCCGUAUGGGAUGGGGUGCCCGCGCCCGUGUGAAGCUCCUUCGACGAGUCGAGUUGUUUGGGAAUGCAGCUCUAAUUGGGUGGUAAAUUUCAUCUAAAGCUAAAUAUUGGCCGGAGACCGAUAGCGCACAAGUAGAGUGAUCGAAAGAUGAAAAGCACUUUGAAAAGAGAGUUAAACAGCACGUGAAAUUGUUGAAAGGGAAGCGCUUGCGAUCAGACUCGCUCCCGGGGUUCAGCCGGCAUUCGUGCCGGUGUACUUCCCCGGGGGCGGGCCAGCGUCGGUUUGGGCGGCCGGUCAAAGGCCCCUGGAAUGUAACGCCUCUCGGGGCGUCUUAUAGCCAGGGGUGCCAUGCGGCCUGCCCGGACCGAGGAACGCGCUUCGGCUCGGACGCUGGCAUAAUGGUCGUAAGCGACC